CGGGGUGGCUGGCCACCUUGGCCUGGGCAUCUUUGGGAUGGGCUUCGGGAGCCCGGCACUGCUGCAGAGUGUGGUGGAUGAGAACAGCUGCUGCUUGCUGUACGUGGUGGAGGACCAGCUGUGUGAUGUGGAGCGAGCCUUCAGAGCUGAGCAUUUGGGCCAACACCAGAGUGGUUCGGGAACAGGAUGCAGACAUUGUCCUCAACGACCAGCGGCACUUUGAUCCGGUUUUCCAGUUCUUGCACAAGCAAGUUUUUGUCAGCCACGCCCUGGGGAGGAUCCACUGGAUCACCGCCGUCACAGCCUGUUCCCGGUGGCCUCUCCGGCUUCCCUAAAGAGAGCAGUAGCUUCCCUGGAGACCAGAAGCCAGAGCUCACCCUCCCUUGUGUCCAGGUGGGACUUUCUACAACGCUGCUAUGCACGACGCGGAUGCCGUAUGCAUGUUGCUGGGGGAAGCCACUCCGGACACUGUGUUUUCUCUGGGACAUGUCUUCUGCCCAGAUAUGGCCGCCUUAAAAGAUGCAGAUGCUGUUGUGAUCAGCAUGAAGUUUCCCUGUGAGGCUGUGGUCAGCGUGGACAUCAGCCAGCACUGCACAGACAGCUGCGACCAGGACGUCAGCCAGCACUGCACAGACAGCUGCAACCAGGACGUCAGCCAGCACUGCACACACAGCUGCGACCAGGAUGUCAGCCAGCACUGCACAGACAGCUGCAACCAGAGACUGGAGGUGACGCCUGCCCUUUUCCACCCUUCGCCAGUCCACUGUGAAAAGCUGGGUUGAUUGUGCAGGUUAGAUAGAGGUCAUCAGCCAGGUUGAUUGUGUGGGUUAGAUAGAGAUCAUCAGCCUGGUGGAUUGUGUGGGUUAGAUAGAGAUCAUCAGCUGGGUUGAUUGUGCGGGUUAGAUAGAGGUCAUCAGCUUGGUUGAUUGUGCGGGUUAGAUAGAGAUCAUCAGCCUGGUUGAUUCUACAGGUUAGAUAGAGAUCAUCAGCUGGGUUUAUUGUGUGGGUUAGAUAGAGAUCAUCAGCUUGGUUGAUUGUGCGGGUUAGAUAGAGGUCGUCAGCCGGGUUGAUUGUGCGGGUUAGAUAGAGAUCAUCAGCCGGGUUGAUUGUGUGGGUUAGAUAGAGAUCAUCAGCCGGGUUGAUUGUGUGGGUUAGAUAGAGAUCAUCAGCCGGGUUGAUUGUGCGGGUUAGAUAGAGAUCAUCAGCCGGGUUGAUUGUGCGGGUUAGAUAGAGAUCAUCAGCCGGGUUGAUUGUGUGGGUUAGAUAGAGAUCAUCAGCCGGGUUGAUUGUGUGGGUUAGAUAGAGGUCAUCAGCCGGGUUGAUUGUGUGGGUUAGAUAGAGAUCAUCAGCCGGGUUGAUUGUGUGGGUUAGAUAGAGAUCAUCAGCCGGGUUGAUUGUGUGGGUUAGAUAGAGGUCAUCAGCAGGGUUGAUUGUGUGGGUUAGAUAGAGGUCAUCAGCCGGGUUGAUUGUGUGGGUUAGAUAGAGGUCAUCAGCCGGGUUGAUUCUGUGGGUUAGAUAGAGGUCAUCAGCUGGGUUGAUUGUGUGGGUUAGAUAGAGGUCAUCAGCCGGGUUGAUUGUGUGGGUUAGAUAGAGAUCGUCAGCCGGGUUGAUUCCGCAGGUUAGAUAGAGGUCGUUAGCUGGGUGUGUGGGUCCCAAGGCAUGCUGCAGAUGGAGAAUCAGAAUUCCUUGGGCAUCACCGGGCGCGGCAUGUCCCUGUCCCUUCGCUCCCAGACCCAGGCUAGCCGCUACCAGGACUCCUAUCGAGAGCUCUUCAGACACUUUGUCAGAACCCUUAAAGGUGGGUGACGUUUUCAGGAGGAACCUGGGAUGUCCUGAUGCUCAAUGGGUAGAUGCCUUCCAGGCUGCAGUGAGUGCAGAUGAUAUGCCAAUUUCAGGUGGAAAAUUGCAUUCCAGAUACUGGGUUCAGAUUUGAAAUUGUCCAUCUCAGUGAUCAUUUACGUUGCGUGUACUUGAGGGAGAUUCUGAGAGAUGCUCCUUUGGGGUUCUGUGCGUGUACCAUGUUGCCUGACACGUCCUGAGAAAUCUUCUUAAACUCUGAGUUUAUAAAAUAACUACUUCUGAACUCCUGAGAUCUAGUGGAUACCAUGUGUCCUGGAAGAUAGGACACUUUCUACCCUCUGUCAGUCCUGGGGGUGACUGGGAACCAGAGAGGUUGAGCAGAAUUCCUGGACCUGGGUGGGGCUUGUCCAAGAGGGGCAGGUGGGCCUCUCUAGGAUCAGUGUCCCACCCAGAGGCCAGUGGCCCCUUCACAUGCCCCAACAAGAGGAAGACUGUCUGGCUCCGCAGUGUUGGGUUUUGUCCUGAAUCUGUGCAAAUGUGCAGGGAAAUAACCUCCUGAAAUCACCAAAGAGCAGUUCCUCAGGGCCUCCCGGGUGACCGUGGCUGUGGAGCAGUCGUGGUGGAACCGGUCAGAUGUGGACCUGCCCUGCGAAUCGGCAGAGGCCUCCGUGGUGAAGACAGAAGCUCCGUGAACCAACCCGAGGCUGGAGCCAAGAUCCUGCCGGAUAUCCAGUUGCCUGUUUCACUUGUUACUGUUACUGGGAGAGGGAGACAAAACCUCAUGGCGAUCUUGUCCUCACUGGAGACUCAGAAGGGGAAGCAUUGGGAAACCAUGUAUGUUUCAUUUCUGGUUUAACCAGGCUUUUCAGGAUGUGACUUCAGACCAAGGACACAAGUUGGGCUUGCUUAGGUGUUUUGUGUUGUGCGCAGGCCUCAGAGAUGCUCUUCCGGUCAGAGUUCCCUUGGCAGGGCCUUGGAGGCCUCUGGUUGGCUCUCUCAGGAAGAGGGCAGGUCAGGGAUUGGGCGCUGUAAAUUGACUCAGAAACCUGCGGUUUCAGCUUUUCUGUGGCAAACAGGGCCGAGGGCUGGUGAAGCUGUUAAGGCUAAAUGUCGCAUGCAUGAGGCGGGCUGCAGGCCUCCUUAGGCCUUUUUUGGGGUAAUUACACCAGUAUUUAAAAACAUUUUUUGUUUGUUUGUUUUGAG
rnacentral:lncRNA from 1 species